AUUGACCGCUUGCGGCAGGCCUAACACAUGCAAGUCGAACGAGUGGCGGACGGGUGAGCAAUGUCUGGGAACCUGCCCGCUGGAGGGGGAUAACUACUGGAAAAAGUCGCUAAUACCGCAUCCCCUCGGAUGUGCCCACAUGGGAUUAGCUAGUAGGUGGGGUAACGGCUCACCUAGGCGAAGUGCCCUAGCUGGUCUGAGAGGAUGACCAGCGGCAAUGGAACAGAGACACGGUCAGGACGCCGACGUGAGGCAGCAGGGGGGAAGAUUGCACAAUGGGCGCAAGCCUGAUGCAGCCAUGCCGCGUGUAUGAAGAAGGCCUGAGGGUUGUAAAGUACUUUCAGCGAGGAGGCGUUACUCGCAGAAGAAGCACCGGCUAACUCCGUGCCAGCAGCCGCGGUAAUAC
rnacentral:rRNA from 1 species